GUGAAUCAUCAAAUUUUUGAACGCAAAUUGCACUCCCUGGUACUCCGGGGAGUAUGCCUGUUUGAGGGUCGUCAGAAUAAAAAAUCGAGGCGUCGCUCUGUUUGUUAAGGGUGAUGGCGUCGGAAUUGAGCCGCCUUUCAAAUGUUAAUUCAUGUCAAAGUGGCUUGAAAUUCAUCAAUACGGUACGAUUAAAGCGUAUUAAAGAUCAAUCUUGAUUAAGAACGCGCGAUGACGUACCAUCCCAUGUAGGACGGUUGACCUGGGUCAUCAGGUUCAUUCGU
rnacentral:misc_RNA from 1 species